UGAAGAAUAAACCUUUUAAGGGCAAAAGUUGGUGCCCUAUACAUUACAUACAAGUGCACAUAACUAAGGAAAAUGAAGAUGGAGUUAAGGGUAAAGAUAAAACCGAAAGAAUAGUUGUAACAAAAUUCUAUAGCUAUGUAAUGUUUUACAGGAGCAAUUGGAAAUGCUAAACAAAAGAGAACUCAACACGAUGGCUAAUCUCUCCGCAGGCUUGCAACAACACUGUACAGACUCCCCUCCACCAAUAGUUACGAAAUUCAACAAUCGAAUUGCCUGUUAGAACAUCACUCAUGUUGAAGUUGUACAUAGGGCUGAUUUGAAGCAAGCACAUGCUCAAGCAAUAUCUGGUAGAUCAUGGUAGGAGUCAAAAUAGCAUGACGAUCUCAAAAGAGUCGUCAUGAUCCAUUUACAGCCAUUUCAGGCGAUGAUUUUGGAGGUAUCAAUGGAUAGUCCUCUCCUCUCUGCCUAUUAUCGGGAGAACUGUGCAUGCUUUCAGAAUAACUUUUUGGACCAUUUGGUUCUCGGUGGUCAUGAUUAUCCAAACCAGCACUCCCAUUGUCAGUAGAAUUCCCCUUCUCCUCAUGGUUGGACUCGACAGAUUUCUCAUCUCCAUCUGAGCAUGGACCAUCUUGUACUGUACUACCCAUCUUUUUAGCGGGUAAAACUGCUUGACUUAAGGUUGAGCAUAAAGCAGCAAAAACACUGUCUCGAGACUUUGAACCUUUAGCAAUAAGCUGCAACCUUUUUGGCUCAGACUCAUCUUUCUGCAAUAGCUUACGUUUCAAUGGGAAAGACUCCACUGACCCAUCUUCAUCAGAAUUAUCUGACUGCUUCCUAAGUGGUGGCUUAUAAUCUUCAUCAUCCUCAUCAUCAUCA
rnacentral:misc_RNA from 1 species